GGAUGCGAUCAUACCAGCACUAAAGCACCAGAUCCUAUUAGUACUCCGAAGUUAAGCGUGCUUGGGCGAGAGUAGUACUACGAUCGGUGACCUCCUAGGAAGUCCUUGUGUUGCAUCCC
rfam:Oryza punctata chromosome 11, whole genome shotgun sequence.